rnacentral:lncRNA from 1 species
CAGAUUUUGAUUUGAACAGUGGAAGUUUUUACUGUUUUAUUGAACUGAAAAAUAUCGUUGAUUGCUUACACAUUUCAGCAAUCUUUACACGUUUAAAUAGACUUGAAACAAACUGAAAUUGCUGGUUUGUAGCACUACAAUGUGCCACGUUCAGCUGACCACUAACAUAAAUGUACCAUGUUCAGCUAACAACAUAACUGACUCCUAAAGACUAGUUCACGUCCUGAAGACCAGCUCUAGUCUUUUAUUUCAGCAGAAUUAAAAUAACAAAGACAGACAAUACUAAAAUAAAACAAAGGCAGCAACUUAAGGCAUAACUCCAACACUCCUCCUUGCAUUAAGGGCUGCAUACUCCUAUCAGCUUUGUGAGAAAUUCGAACCUGUUAGCAGGAAGUGCUUUGGUAAACAAAUCAGCCAUUUGAUCUUCAGUCCUACAAUAAAGUAGCUUAACAUCUCCAUUCUUCUGCACCUCUCGGAUAAAAUAUAUUUUGAUGUUGAAAUGUUUGGUUUUCCCAUGAAACACAGGAUUGUUAGAGAUUGCUAUAGCUGCUUGAUUGUCAACUGAGAUUUCAGUUGCUUCUUCCUCUUCCAUAUGUAGAUCACGCAGUAACUUUUGAAGCCAUAAAGCUUGGUUAACUGCAGCUGUGGCAGCAAUGAACUCUGCCUCUGCAGUUGAUUGUGCAACAAUGCUUUGCUUCUUGGAUGACCAUGAAAAUAUUGCUGAGCCUAGAUUGAAACAAAAACCAGAAGUGCUUUUCAUGUCAUCAAUGAAUCCACCCCAAUCACUGUCAGAAAAGCCAUGCAAUUUCAGUGUUUUACAUUGCAUAAAUUUAACACCAAAACUGCAUGUUCCUUUGAUGUAUCGCAGGAUACGUUUGGCUGCCCUCAUAUGUAGCUCACUGGACAAUGCAUAAACCUUGAUAGAAGGUUUGUUGCAUAAAAAAUGUCAGGUCGGGUUGCUGUCAAAUACAGCAAGCAAUCAAUCAAGCUUCUGUACUUUUCUUCAUUUACCCUGGCAGUCUCAUCCUCUUUGCUGAAUUUAUCCUUCUGAUUCAUUGGAGUAGCAGUUGGUUUACAAUUCUCCAUUUGGAAUUUCUUCAAAAUCUCCUUCGUAUAUUUUUCUUGACCAAUGAAGAUCACUCCUCUGCUUUGUUUAAUCUCCAUGCCAAGAAAAAAACUCAUGAGUCCAAGGUCACUCAUUUCGAAAGCUUGCAUCAUGUCCUGGUUGAACCUUUCAAUUUGCUGCAAAUUACUUCCAGUUACAAGUAAAUCAUCAACAUAGAGGGACACGAUAAGAACAUCAUCAUCAAUUUUCUUCACAUAGAGGGUUAAUUCAGAAAGACUUUUCUGAAAUCCAAACCCUGUCAAGUAGUCAUCAAUUCGGCCAUACCAAGCCCUUGGUGCCUGUUGUUGUCCAUAAAGUGCCUUCUUCAGCAUGUACACCUUGUCUUCUUCUCCUUGAACAACAAAUCCAGCAGGUUGUUCAACAUAAAUUUCUUCUUGUAAAUCGCCAUUAAGGAAGGCUGAUUUUACGUCCAUCUGGAACACUUUCCAGUUUUUGUGUGCAGCAACAGCAAGCAACAAUCUGAUGGUGUCCAUCCUUGCUACUGGAGCGAAUGUGUCUGAAUAAUCCACCCCAUACACUUGAGCAUACCCCUUGACAACCAGCCUUGCCUUGAAUUUGUUGAUGGAGCUGUCAGCAUUCAGUUUGGUCCUGAAAAUCCACUUGACGCCAAUAAUGUUCUUGUCUGCAGGUCGAUCAACAAGUUCCCACGUAUGAUUCUUUUCAAUCAUGUGUAUUUCCUCCUUCAUUGCUUCCUGCCAUGCUGGAUUCAUCUGCGCAUCUUCAUAAUUUUCUGGUUCACAAACAGCCACAUUGCUCCUUUGAUAGAUUUCUUCAAGUGAUCUGGUGCCUCGUACUGGUGAUUCAUCAAUUGAUUCAUUUUGCAGGGGAGUAAUAAUUUGAUCAUCAAGCACCGUGAUCUCUUGUGUUUCAUCCCAGUUCCAUUUGUCGUCUUCAUGGAACUGCACAUCCCGUGUAAUUGUAAUCUUCUGGGUUUGAGGGAGGUAUACUUUAUAGGCUUUAGAAAUUGUGCUAUAGCCAACAAAGAUACCUUGCAUUGCCUUCUUGUCCAGCUUGUCCCUCUUAAUCUGUGGAAUGUGAACAAAACAUGUGCUGCCAAAAACCUUAAGAAAACUAAGUGAGGGUUUGUACUUAUACCACACUUCAAAAGGAGUUUUUUCUGCCAAAAGCUUUGUUGGGAGACGAUUUUGCAGGAAUACUGCUGUGUUAGCAGCUUCUGCCCAAAAAAAUUUAGGCAAGUUCUUCUCAUGUAGCAUGCAUCUAGCCAUCUCCAUUAUGUAUCGAUUUCUUCUCUCACUAACCCCAUUCUGCUCUGGAGUGUAAGGGGCUGUGAGUUGAUGCUCAAUGCCAGCUUCUUCACAAUAAAGAUUGAAUUCUGUUGAUGUGUAUUCUCUGCCAUUGUCUGAACGAAUUGCUUGAAUUCUGCAGUUGCUUUGAUUCUCCACAUUCUUCUUGAAUCUCCAGAAAAUUCCAGCCACCUCGGAUUUGAAUUUCAUGAAAUAAAUCCAGCACAUUCGAGAGAAAUCGUCAAUAAACAGCAGGUAAUAUUUACUGCCAUUUAAUGAUGGUGUGCUUAGAGGACCAGCCACAUCGGUAUGAAUCAGCUGCAGCUUUUGGGAUGAUCUCCAAGUUGAUCUCGGAAAUGAUUUUCUAUUCUGCUUACCAAACUGACAAGCAUGACAGUUCAAUGUAAUUUCAGUAAAUGGAGGUAUACCUCUGACAGCCUCAGAAUUCUUCAUGGUAAGCAUCCUUUGUUGAUGGCAGUGUCCCAACCUUUUGUGCCAUAACUUAGUAUAAUUGAGUUUUGUUGGGAAAGCAUUAUGCUCCUCCUCAAAUGGCAGAAAUGAGAAACUUUUGCUCUUCAUUCUAACUUGUAGAAUUUUACACCCAGCAGCAUAAAAAAUACAGCAAUGUUGAUUUUCAAAAAUCACCUUCAUUCCUUUCUCAAUUAAUUGCCCCACACUCAACAAAUUCUGAUCUAUAUUAGGCACAUAAAGAACAUCUGCAAUUGUUUUUGUACCUGAAUUUGUUGUGAUGGCAAUUGUUCCCUUUCCCUUUGCUUCAAUGCAUUCACCAUUUCCAAUUCUGACUUUUGCAGCUUUUGUAGGCUGCAAAUUUCGGAAAAGACUUUUAUCAAAAGUCAUGUGGUUGGUGCAACCACUAUCAAUUAGCCAAUGGUCUGAGGUGGUUUGAACCGGAAGCAUGCAGCCACAAACAUCUGAUCCUCAUCAUCUUGGUUCACGACUUGAGCAUCUUCUUCUUGUUUUUGAUUUUUGAAUCUGCAUAUUAUUGCCUCAUGUCCUAGUUGAUUGCACUUGUUGCACCUUGCAUCAGGCCUCUUCCAGCAUUUGAAUGGUGGGUGACCACUCUUGUUGCAGUGUUGACAAGGUGGAAAAUUCCUUUUAAUAAAUUUUCCUUUGUUGUAACCUUGAUUUGGUUUAAUGCUGCCUGAAGCUGCGUUCUUCCUGAAGAACUUCUUCUUGUCAUAGUCUGCAAAUUUUGCUUGCAAAGCACCUUCAAUUGCAUGAUCCUGCCUCAUAAGCCUUCUCUGCUCCUGAGCUUGUAAGGCAUUUAGCAACUCUGUCAAUGUAAUUUUUGACAGGUCUUUAGUAUUCUCCAAUGUUGUAACUGAAGCUUCAUACUUUUCUGGUACUGUGACCAGAAGUUUUUCAACAAUUCUGGAAUCUGCAAAUGAUGUUCCCAGCAGCCUAACUCUGUUAGCAAUCCCCAUCAAUUUGUCUGAGUACUCCUUUAUAGUCUCAGAAUCCUUCAUCCUUUGCAGCUCAAAUUCACGUAUCAAGUUUAAGCUUUGCAUUCCACGAAUUCUUUCAUCUCCUGCAUAUUCCUUCUUCAAGUAAUCCCAAACAUCCUUUGCUGAUUGAAGUGACAUGAUCCUGGUGAAAAUGGUUGUGGAAACAGCAGCAAACAGACAUGCCUUCGCCUUCGAUUUCUUGGUCUUUCUCUCCUUAUGACUUUUGAUCUGAGUCAUAGUUGGAUUAUUAGGCAGUGGUGGCACCUCAUAAUCCUCUUCAACAGCUUCCUACAAAUCUAAGGCUUCUAGGUGAGUUUCCAUUCUUACUGCCCAUAGUUGAAAAUUCUCUCCAUUGAAGAUUGGAGGAGAAAUAUGGGUGAAACUUGAUUCAGAAUCCAUCACAGGCCCUUCAAGAAAAUUGCUUUGAUACCAAUUGAAAGAGUUUGAAGAGAUUGAAAAAAAGAAGUGAAAAACAGAAUGCAGAUUUUGAUUUGAACAGUGGAAGUUUUUACUGUUUUAUUGAACUGAAAAAUAUCGUUGAUUGCUUACACAUUUCAGCAAUCUUUACACGUUUAAAUAAACUUGAAACAAACUGAAAUUGCUGGUUUGUAGCACUACAAUGUGCCACGUUCAGCUGACCACUAACAUGACCACUAACAUAAAUGUACCAUGUUCAGCUAACAACAUAAUUGACUCCUAA